GACGAACGCUGGCGGCGUGCUUAACACAUGCAAGUCGAACGGAAAGGCCCUGCUUGCAGGGUACUCGAGUGGCGAACGGGUGAGUAACACGUGGGUGAUCUGCCCUGCACUUCGGGAUAAGCCUGGGAAACUGGGUCUAAUACCGGAUAGGAGCCAUUUUUAGUGUGAUGGUUGGAAAGUUUUGUCGGUGUAGGAUGAGCUCGCGGCCUAUCAGCUUGUUGGUGGGGUAAUGGCCUACCAAGGCGGCGACGGGUAGCCGGCCUGAGAGGGUGGACGGCCACAUUGGGACUGAGAUACGGCCCAGACUCCUACGGGAGGCAGCAGUGGGGAAGAUUGCACAAUGGGCGCAAGCCUGAUGCAGCGACGCCGCGUGGGGGAUGACGGCCUUCGGGUUGUAAACUCCUUUCGCUAGGGACGAAGCUUUUUGUGACGGUACCUAGAUAAGAAGCACCGGCUAACUACGUG
rnacentral:rRNA from 1 species